rnacentral:rRNA from 1 species
UACGUAGGGUGCAAGCGUUAAUCGGAAUUACUGGGCGUAAAGCGUGCGCAGGCGGCUUUGCAAGACAGAUGUGAAAUCCCCGGGCUCAACCUGGGAACUGCAUCUGUGACUGCAUUGCUGGAGUGCGGCAGAGGGGGAUGGAAUUCCGCGUGUAGCAGUGAAAUGCGUAGAUAUGCGGAGGAACACCGAUGGCGAAGGCAAUCCCCUGGGCCUGCACUGACGCUCAUGCACGAAAGCGUGGGGAGCAAACAGG